rnacentral:rRNA from 1 species
AUGCCCAUUCAGUCAGUAGAUCUUGCUAAAAAAAAUAUUCAGUCAGUAGAUCCCCACUCUUCUUCUUCAAAAGAAAAGAAAAAACUAGUAGAUCCCCACAUUCCCCACAUCCCUGAACUAGGAUGGAGUAGCAGUUUUGUCAUUGUCGAGGCGGCACAAGGAAUGCUUGGAAUGCUCAGUAAAAUCCAAGACAGGGACAGCGAAGAUGACACAUAUUUGCUGAAGUAUUCUUCUCUGAGGAAUAACCAAUGGCACUUGGAGAAGUUCAUCCCGUCGCCGGUAAAGGCUACUCUGGUUGGUGUAGGCGGGGGAUACCUGCUCAUGGUAGCGUUGCACACCACAUCUUCACAUGAGAAGCUGAAGUUUGAAUUACUUUCCGUGGACGUCAAGACAUUGCAGAUCGAGUUGUUCGCGGAGCUUAGUGAAGCCACCUUACCUGAUCGGCUAUAUGUUGGCUUUCCACCAUCAUUGUGUGUGCCAACUAUAUGA